UACGGAGGGUGCGAGCGUUGUCCGGAAUCUUGGGCGUAAAGGGCGCGUAGGUGGCCCGGUCAGUUCGUGGUGAAAGCGCGGGGCUCAACCCUGCGUCGGCCAUGAAUACUGCCGCGGCUGGAGCACUGUAGAGGCAGGCGGAAUUCCUGGUGUAGCGGUGGAAUGCGCAGAUAUCAGGAGGAGCACCGGUGGCGAAGGCGGGUCUCUGGGCAGUGAACUGACGCUGGAGGAGCGAAAGCGUGGGGAGCGAACAGG
rnacentral:rRNA from 1 species